UGAGUAGUGUAUCGGAACGUGCCUAGUAGCGGGGGAUAGCUACACGAAAGCGUAGCUCAUACCGCAAACGCCCUACGGGGGAAAGCAGGGGAUCGCGAGACCUUGCACUAUUAGAGCGGCCGAAUGUCGGAUUAGCUAGUUGGUGGGGUAACGGCUCACCAAGGCGACGAUGCGUAGCUGGUUUGAGAGGACGACCAGCCACACUGGGACUGAGACACGGCCCAGACUCCUACGAGGAGGCAGCAGUGGGGAAUUUUGGACAAUGGGGGAAACCCUGAUCCAGCCAUCCCGCGUGUGCGAUGAAGGCCUUCGGGUUGUAAAGCACUUUUGGCAGGAAAGAAACGUCAUGGGCUAAUACCCCGUGAAACUGACGGUACCUGCAGAAUAAGCACCGGCUAACUACGUGCCAGCAGCCGC
rnacentral:rRNA from 1 species